rnacentral:rRNA from 1 species
ACUGCUCAGUAACACGUGGAUAACCUACCCUUGGGACUGGAAUAACCCCGGGAAACUGGGGAUAAUACCGGAUAGAUCAGGGAUGCUGGAAUGCACCUUGAUCCAAAGCUCCGGCGCCCAAGGAUGGGUCUGCGGCCUAUCAGGUAGUAGUGGGUGUAACGUACCUACUAGCCAACGACGGGUACGGGUUGUGAGAGCAAGAGCCCGGAGAUGGAUUCUGAGACACGAAUCCAGGCCCUACGGGGUGCAGCAGGCGCGAAACCUUUACAAUGUGCGAAAGCAUGAUAAGGGAACUCCGAGUGCCAGUAUCUAAUACUGGCUGUCCUUGUGCCUAAAACGCACAAGAUAGCAAGGGCCGGGUAAGACCGGUGCCAGCCGCCGCGGUAACACCGGCGGCCCGAGUGGUAGCCGCUAUUAUUGGGUCUAAAGGGUCCGUAGCCGGUUCGAUAAGUCCUCUGGGAAAUCUGGUUGCUUAACAAUCAGACUGCCAAGGGAUACUGUCGAACUUGAGACCGGGAGAGGUAAGAGGUACUUCAGGGGUAGGAGUGAAAUCUUGUAAUCCCUGGGGGACCAUCUGUGGCGAAGGCGUCUUACCAGAACGGGUCUGACGGUGAGGGACGAAAGCUGGGGGCGCAAACCGGAUUAGAUACCCGGGUAGUCCCAGCCGUAAACGAUGCUCGCUAUGUGUCAGGUACGGUGUGACCGUAUCUGGUGCCGUAGGGAAGCCGUGAAGCGAGCCACCUGGGAAGUACGGCCGCAAGGCUGAAACUUAAAGGAAUUGGCGGGGGAGCACUACAACGGGUGGAGCCUGCGGUUUAAUUGGAUUCAACGCCGGAAAUCUUACCGGGGGAGACAGCAGCAUGAAGGUCAGGCUGAAGACCUUACCAGAUCCGCUGAGAGGAAGUGCAUGGCCGUCGUCAGUUCGUACUGUGAAGCAUCCUGUUAAGUCAGGCAACGAGCGAGACCCGUGCCCACAGUUGCCAGCAUACCCUUCGGGGUGAUGGGUACUUUGUGGGGACCGCCGCUGCUAAAGCGGAGGAAGGAGCGGGUUACGGUAGGUCAGUAUGCUCCGAAACUCCCGGGCUACACGCGGGCUACAAUGGUUGGGACAAUGGGAAUCAAC